rnacentral:lncRNA from 1 species
AUGCAUCAUUGCACCGCGGAUUGCACUGCAGCUUGCACCGUGCCCCCGUGCAUCACUGCACUGCGGAUCGCACCGUGCCCCCGUGCAUCACUGCACUGCGGAUCGCACCGUGCCCCCGUGCAUCACUGCACUGCGGAUCGCACCGUGCCCCCGUGCAUCACUGCACUGCGGAUCGCACCGUGCCCCCGUGCAUCACUGCACUGCGGAUCGCACCGUGCCCCCGUGCAUCACUGCACUGCGGAUCGCACCGUGCCCCCGUGCAUCACUGCACUGCGGAUCGCACCGUGCCCCCGUGCAUCACUGCACUGCGGAUCGCACCGUGCCCCCGUGCAUCACUGCACUGCGGAUCGCACCGUGCCCCCGUGCAUCACUGCACUGCGGAUCGCACCGUGCCCCCGUGCAUCACUGCACUGCGGAUCGCACCGUGCCCCCGUGCAUCACUGCACUGCGGAUCGCACCGUGCCCCCGUGCAUCACUGCACUGCGGAUCGCACCGUGCCCCCGUGCAUCACUGCACUGCGGAUCGCACCGUGCCCCCGUGCAUCACUGCACUGCGGAUCGCACCGUGCCCCCGUGCAUCACUGCACUGCGGAUCGCACCGUGCCCCCGUGCAUCACUGCACUGCGGAUCGCACCGUGCCCCCGUGCAUCACUGCACUGUGUGUUGCACUGUGCCCCCACGCGUGAUUGCACUGCACAUUGCACCGUGGAUCGCACCGUGCCCCCGUGCAUCACUGCACUGUGUGUUGCACUGUGCCCCCACGCGUGAUUGCACUGCACAUUGCACCGUGGAUCGCACCGUGCCCCCGUGCAUCACUACACCAUGGAUCGCACCAUGCCCCCGUGCAUCGCGAGCAUCCCGAGGACGGCAACGUGGAGCUGCACCUUCCCUUCCUGCUCCUCGGCGGAGCAAGAGCCGAGAGGGGUCUCUCCCGCUCCGUGCGGCGGUGGGCAGAGGGUACAACACCUUCACCCAGGGCACCGUCCCGCGUCCCCCAGCUUUGUGCGAGUGA